rnacentral:lncRNA from 1 species
GCAUUAAUUGCAAAAUUCAAGGCAUUAAUUGCAAAAUUCAAGGCAUUAACUGCAUAACUCAAGGCAUUAAUUGCAAAAUUCAAGGCAUUAAUUGCAUAACUCAAGGCAUUAAUUGCAAAAUUCAAGGCAUUAACUGCAUAACUCAAGGCAUUAAUUGCAAAAUUCAAGGCAUUAAUUGCACAACUCAAGGCAUUAAUUGCACGAUGAAGGCCUCAAUGUCUAUGCUCCGCGCAGAAACAUCGUAAGCCGCGAAAGUUAGACUGAGGAUGAGCCUUAAGGGGCAAUUCAGCCGUUCUCCCGGGUCACUCCUCGGCACCGGCUUUUCAACCCUACUCG